rnacentral:rRNA from 1 species
GACAGAGGGGGCAAGCGUUGCUCGGAAUUACUGGGCGUAAAGGGCGCGUAGGCGGGAUGGCAAGUCGGUCGUGAAAUCCCUCGGCUCAACUGAGGAUCGUCGAUCGAUACUGCCGUUCUUGAGGAUUGCAGAGGAGACUGGAAUUCCCGGUGUAGCGGUGAAAUGUGUAGAGAUCGGGAGGAACACCGGUGGCGAAGGCGGGUCUCUGGGCAAUUCCUGACGCUGAGGCGCGACAGCGUGGGGAGCAAACAGGG